UGUGUGUGUGUGUGUGUGUGUGUGUGUGUGUGACUUCCUUCCUUCCUUUUCUUUUCUCUUUGGCUCACGAAGAGUUAGUAGGGAACUCUGAUUCUCUUGACUGGUCAACAAGGGGUCCUAAGAGAGCCAGGUAACUAAGCGUUUGUUCCCCCUUAAUCUCCUGCUGCUGUCAGCAGGGGUUGAAAUGCCAAAGUCAGCAGCGUUUGGCCACAGACUAGCAAAGAGUUAAAGAGUUAACUUGCCCGAAGAAAGCAGAAGCAGCUUCGGCUGGUGUGCAGUCCCAGACUCCACACUCCCUUUCACUGCCUUCCUGGGGAACUGGAUGCUAAGAUAACUCCUGGCAGGACCUUGUCCCUAAUCUCUUGGGUUCAGGUUCCUAACAGGAACAGGGACUAUUAGAAAAACCAGGGAGAUGAGGGGUGCUGUGGUCUCAACAUUCACCUCCAAAAUUCAGGUGUCGUAGUGUGGGACUUUUAAGAAGGGAUCCGGACAUGAUGUCUCCUUUCUUAGGUAUGGAAUUCAGGCCCUUAAGAAAGGGGCUCACCCGGAGCUGGGGAUGCAGCUCAGAAGGAAGAGUCCUUGCUUAACAUCCGUGAAGCCCUGGACCUCAUCCCUCGCGCCACACAAAUGAUCUCCAGUGCCAAGGAAAACAUGUAGCUGGCAAAAUACCUUGAGUCUGGCUGAAUCCAACCAUGAUCCAGUGAGCCUUGCUCUCGUGAUGUGGUCUCAAGUGUGUUUGGGGAACUUGAGCCGUUAGUAACUGUCCUGCCAGGUUCUGCAACCCUGUAGCUCAAAGCUGAGGUCAGCCCUGACUGGUGCUGGUUUGGGAAGGAGAGCCCAACUUGAGGCGGAUGGGCUCUACAGCUGCUCUAGGAGACUGCCCCCUAGUGGUUGGAAUCCUCCUAGCGGCCUGGAAUUCUCACCCUCAGCCUCGCGGGAGGAAACUUCAUCCUUAUGAGUUUCAUCCUAGACAAAGGUGGGCAGAGGUCCUUCUAAUGGCUCAUGCUUUCAUCGAGUAAAGGCAUUUCCUGCCAACCUGGAUCUUCAGAGUUCAAUCCUGAGACCCAGAAGCCCUCUCUCCCUACAAAUACAGGCAAAUAAAAACUUGUAAAAAGGAUGUCUGGAGACUAGAGUCACCUUUAGAGGAAAGCUAGAAGCAAGUUUGAGUUUCCUAUUAGCUGUGAAAAUAUCUGUUCCCUCUGGGAGAGGCCAUUCAGGUGUGAGUACAGGCCAGGGUGAGGGAGGGGACUGGUGGCCAGUUCCUGAGCACGUCACCUGGUGAUAGGUUGGCCACCAACCACCGGAGAACAACUUUCUGAAUAAAACCUUC